rnacentral:rRNA from 1 species
GACGAACCGUGCGAACGUUGUUCGGAAUCACUGGGCUUAAAGGGCGCGUAGGCGGGUUCUCAAGUCUGGAGUGAAAGCCCGCGGCUCAACCGCGGAAGCGCUUCGGAUACUGGGGGCCUCGAGGGGGGUAGGGGCGUGCGGAACUUCCGGUGGAGCGGUGAAAUGCGUAGAUAUCGGAAGGAACACCGGUGGCGAAAGCGGCGCGCUGGACCCCUUCUGACGCUGAGGCGCGAAAGCCAGGGGAGCAAACGGG